rnacentral:rRNA from 1 species
GAUGAACGCUGGCGGCGUGCCUAAUACAUGCAAGUCGAGCGAACAGACGAGGAGCUUGCUCCUCUGACGUUAGCGGCGGACGGGUGAGUAACACGUGGAUAACCUACCUAUAAGACUGGGAUAACUUCGGGAAACCGGAGCUAAUACCGGAUAACAUUUUGAACCGCAUGGUUUAACAGUGAAAGACGGUCUUGCUGUCACUUAUAGAUGGAUCCGCGCCGCAUUAGCUAGUUGGUAAGGUAACGGCUUACCAAGGCAACGAUGCGUAGCCGACCUGAGAGGGUGAUCGGCCACACUGGAACUGAGACACGGUCCAGACUCCUACGGGAGGCAGCAGUAGGGAAUCUUCCGCAAUGGGCGAAAGCCUGACGGAGCAACGCCGCGUGAGUGAAGAAGGUCUUCGGAUCGUAAAACUCUGUUAUUAGGGAAGAACAAAUGUGUAAGUAACUAUGCACAUCUUGACGGUACCUAAUCAGAAAGCCACGGCUAACUACGUG